UGGAGAAACUCAAUGUGGAACAUGGUGGAGAGAACAGAAUGAAACCUGGACUUAGAAAAUAUGUCUGUGAUCUCACACUGGACCCAAACACAGUAAACAGACGCCUCUCUCUGUCUGAGGAGAACAGAAAGGUGACAUGGAGGAGAGAGGAGCAGCCGUAUCCUGAUCACCCAGAGAGAUUUGAGGACU